GGAAAGCUUUCGCGGUAUGGGAUGGGGUCGCGUCCUAUCAGCUCGACGGCGGGGUAACGGCCCACCGUGGCUUCGACGGGUAGCCGGCCUGAGAGGGCGACCGGCCACAUUGGGACUGAGAUACGGCCCAGACUCCUACGGGAGGCAGCAGUGGGGAAUAUUGCACAAUGGGCGCAAGCCUGAUGCAGCGACGCCGCGUGAGGGAUGGAGGCCUUCGGGUUGUAAACCUCUUUUAUCGGGGAGCAAGCGAGAGUGAGUUUACCCGUUGAAUAAGCACCGGCUAACUACGUGCCAGCAGCCGCGGUAAUACGUAGGGUGCAAGCGUUAUCCGGAAUUAUUGGGCGUAAAGGGCUCGUAGGCGGUUCGUCGCGUCCGGUGUGAAAGUCCAUCGCUUAACGGUGGAUCCGCGCCGGGUACGGGCGGG
rnacentral:rRNA from 1 species